AGGAAUUGGCUGAACUUGUGCACAAAGUUCAUUUGCUUUGUUUACUUGCUCGGGGAAGAUUAAUAGACCGUGCUUGUGAUGAUGUUUUAAUUCAGGCUUCUCUGCUUUCUCUACUUCCAGCGGACUUGCUCCACCUAUCAAAAGACACAAAACUCACUUCAAAAGCUCUACAUCCUUUAAUCUCAUGGUUCCAUGACAAUUUUCAUGUUAAAAACUAUACAAAUGGAGAAAAGUCACCACACUUUGCUUUGGCAUCUGCUUUAGAAUUACGUG